rnacentral:rRNA from 1 species
GUCCACGCCGUAAACGAUGCACACUAGGUUUGCCUGGCUCUGACGCCCGGCGUGCCGAAACAAAAGCGUUAAGUGUGCCGCCUGGGGAGUACGGCCGCAAGGCUAAAACUCAAAGGAAUUGACGGGGCUCACACAAGCGGUGGAGGAUGUGGCUCAAUUCGAAGCAACGCGAAGAACCUUACCUGGGUUUGACAUGCUAGGAUUAGCUUCGUGAAAGCGAAGUGACGCGGCUUGCCGUGGAACUAGCACAGGUGCUGCAUGGCUGUCGU